UACGUAGGGCGCAAGCGUUGUCCGGAAUUAUUGGGCGUAAAGAGCUCGUAGGCGGCUUGUCACGUCGGGUGUGAAAGCCCGGGGCUUAACCCCGGGUCUGCAUUCGAUACGGGCAGGCUAGAGUGUGGUAGGGGAGAUCGGAAUUCCUGGUGUAGCGGUGAAAUGCGCAGAUAUCAGGAGGAACACCGGUGGCGAAAGCGGAUCUCUGGACCGGUACUGACGCUGAUGCGCGAAAGCGUGGGGAGCAAACGGG
rnacentral:rRNA from 1 species